GAUGAACGCUGGCGGCGUGCCUAAUACAUGCAAGUCGAGCGAACGGACGAGAAGCUUGCUCCUCUGAUGUUAGCGGCGGACGGGUGAGUAACACGUGGAUAACCUACCUAUAAGACUGGGAUAACUUCGGGAAACCGGAGCUAAUACCGGAUAAUAUUUUGAACCGCAUGGUUCAAUAGUGAAAGACGGUCUUGCUGUCACUUAUAGAUGGAUCCGCGCUGCAUUAGCUAGUUGGUAAGGUAACGGCUUACCAAGGCAACGAUGCAUAGCCGACCUGAGAGGGUGAUCGGCCACACUGGAACUGAGACACGGUCCAGACUCCUACGGGAGGCAGCAGUAGGGAAUCUUCCGCAAUGGGCGAAAGCCUGGCGGAGCAACGCCGCGUGAGUGAUGAAGGUCUUCGGAUCGUAAAACUCUGUUAUUAGGGAAGAACAAAUGUGUAAGUAACUGUGCACAUCUUGACGGUACCUAAUCAGAAAGCCACGGCUAACUACGUG
rnacentral:rRNA from 1 species